UCAGGCCUAACACAUGCAAGUCGAGCGGGCGUAGCAAUACGUCAGCGGCAGACGGGUGAGUAACGCGUGGGAACGUACCUUUUGGUUCGGAACAACACAGGGAAACUUGUGCUAAUACCGGAUAAGCCCUUACGGGGAAAGAUUUAUCGCCGAAAAAUCGGCCCGCGUCUGAUUAGCUAGUUGGUAGGGUAAUGGCCUACCAAGGCGACGAUCAGUAGCUGGUCUGAGAGGAUGAUCAGCCACAUUGGGACUGAGACACGGCCCAAACUCCUACGGGAGGCAGCAGUGGGGAAUAUUGGACAAUGGGCGCAAGCCUGAUCCAGCCAUGCCGCGUGAGUGAUGAAGGCCCUAGGGUUGUAAAGCUCUUUUGUGCGGGAAGAUAAUGACGGUACCGCAAGAAUAAGCCCCGGCUAACUUCGUGCCAGCAGCCGCGGUAAUACGAAGGGGGCUAGCGUUGCUCGGAAUCACUGGGCGUAAAGGGUGCGUAGGCGGGUCUUUAAGUCAGGGGUGAAAUCCUGGAGCUCAACUCCAGAACUGCCUUUGAUACUGAAGAUCUUGAGUUCAGGAGAGGUGAGUGGAACUGCGAGUGUAGAGGUGAAAUUCGUAGAUAUUCGCAAGAACACCAGUGGCGAAGGCGGCUCACUGGCCCG
rnacentral:rRNA from 1 species